UGCUUUGUGCAGUGGCAGUAUUGUAGCCAAUGCAGAUUAUCUGAGGCCUGAUUAUUGGUAAUUGAAANCCCUUCCCAGUAUUCCGCCAUGGUGAUUUGGAAUACAGUCAGCAUUGGCAAUUUUUGACAGUCUCUCUUUAAA
rnacentral:snRNA from 1 species